CCAAUCCUUAUGCGUACUCACCUGAAGCCGCCCCUCCACUUGCCGGAUCAUACCCUGGAGCUCCCAUGAACUAUCCUGCAUACGGGGGUUAUGGCAAUGGUAUGGUACCAGCUUAUCAGCAGGCUUACUACCGAUAGAUAAUGACAGACUCUUGUGAAGAUGGUAACCACUGAUAUGAUGACUCAUCCCCAAAUCUCAUCCUCUUUUUAUAAUGGCUUGUUUGUAAUCACUAACCGUUUAAUGGUAGCGAUGUCUGUGUGUG
rnacentral:lncRNA from 1 species